UACGGAGGGUGCAAGCGUUAUCCGGAUUCACUGGGUUUAAAGGGUGCGUAGGUGGGUCUGUAAGUCCGUGGUGAAAUCUCCAAGCUUAACUUGGAAACUGCCAUGGAUACUAUAGGUCUUGAAUCUUCUGGAGGUCAGCGGAAUAUGUCAUGUAGCGGUGAAAUGCUUAGAUAUGACAUAGAACACCAAUUGCGAAGGCAGCUGACUACAGGGGCAUUGACACUGAGGCACGAAAGCGUGGGGAUCAAACAGG
rnacentral:rRNA from 1 species